GACGAACGCUGGCGGCGUGCUUAACACAUGCAAGUCGAACGGAAAGGCCCUGCUUGCAGGGUACUCGAGUGGCGAACGGGGGAGUAACACGUGGGUGAUCUGCCCUGCACUUCGGGAUAAGCCUGGGAAACUGGGUCGAAUACAGGAUAGGAGCCAUUCUGAGUGUGAUGGUUGGAAAGUUUUUUCGGUGUAGGGUGGGCUCGCGGCCUAUCAGCUUGUUGGUGGGGUAAUGGCCUACCAAGGAGGCGACGGGUAGCCGGCCUGAGAGGGUGGACGGCCACAUUGGGGCUGGGGUUCGGGCCAGACUCCUACGGGGGGCAGCAGUUGGGAAUAUUGCACAAUGGGCGCAAGCCUGAUGCAGCGACGCCGCGUGGCGGAUGACGGCCUUCGGGUUGUAAACUCCUUUCGCUAGGGACGAAGCUUUUUGUGACGGUACCUAGAUAAGAAGCACCGGCUAACUACGUG
rnacentral:rRNA from 1 species